rnacentral:rRNA from 1 species
GUGCAGCAGGCGAGAAAACUUCACACUGUGCGAAAGCACGAUGAGGGAAUCCCAAGUGCUUGCACGUAAGUGUAAGCUGUUUCUCUGUCUAAAACGCAGAGAGAGUAAGGGCUGGGUAAGACGGGUGCCAGCCGCCGCGGUAAUACCUGCAGCUCAAGUGGUGACCGUUAUUAUUGGGCCUAAAACGUCCGUAGCCGGUUUAAUAAAUGCCUGGGUAAAUUGUGUAGCUUAACUAUACGAAUUCCGGGUAGACUGUUAAACUUGAGACCGGGAGAAGUUAGAGGUACUCCUGGGGUAGAGGUGAAAUUCUGUAAUCCUAGGGGGACCACCAGUGGCGAAGGCGUCUAACUAGAACGGGUCUGACGGUGAGGGACGAAGCCCUGGGGCGC